ensembl:misc_RNA Metazoa_SRP Metazoan signal recognition particle RNA
UCUGUGCGAGGUAAUGUGCUCAGAACUGGAGUUACAGAGAGGAGCAGAGCAGAACACAGCUCUCUUAUGAAGUUCUGGGCUGUAGUGUGCUAUGAGGUUCAGGUGUCUGCACUAAGUUCAACAUCAAUAUGGCCUCCUGGGAACAGGGUACCACUAGGUUGCCUAAGGAAGGGUGAACUGGCACAGAUCAGAAACAGAGUGGGUCAAAGCUCUUAUGCCGAUCAGUAGUGGGAUUGUGCCUGUGAAUAGCCACUGCCCUACAGCCUGGGCAACAUAGUGAGACCCCAUCUCUC